AAUGAACGCUGGCGGCAUGCCUAACACAUGCAAGUCGAACGUGACCUUCGGGUCUAGUGGCGCACGGGUGCGUAACGUGUGGGACCCUGCCCUUAGGCUUCGAAUUACUCUUCGUAAGGGGUGCUAAUACCGGAUAACUUCCUCGGAUAAAAGAUUUGUCGUCCUUGUAUGGGCAGGCGUUGGAUUAGCUUGUCGCUAUGGUAAAAGCCUACCACGGGGACGAUCCAUAGCUGGUUUGAGAGGCAGGGCGGCCACACUUGGACUGGGAUGCGGCCCAGACUCCUACAGGAGGCGGCAGUGGGGGAUAUAGGACAAUGGGCGAAGGGCUGAUCCAGCAAGGCCUCGAGAGUGAUGAAGGCCUGAAAGAAGUAAAGCUCGUUUACCCGGGGUUGUUAUGACAGUACCGGGAGAAUAAGCUCCGGCUAACUCCGUG
rnacentral:rRNA from 1 species